rnacentral:rRNA from 1 species
UACGUAGGUCCCGAGCGUUGUCCAGAUUUAUUGGGCGUAAAGCGAGCGCAGGUGGUUUAUUAAGUCUGGUGUAAAGGCAGUGGCUCAACCAUUGUAUGCAUUGGAAACUGGUAGACUUGAGUGCAGGAGAGGAGAGUGGAAUUCCAUGUGUAGCGGUGAAAUGCGUAGAUAUAUGGAGGAACACCGGUGGCGAAAGCGGCUCUCUGGCCUGUAACUGACACUGAGGCUCGAAAGCGUGGGGAGCAAACAGG